CCUACGGGUGGCAGCAGUGGGGAAUAUUGGGCAAUGGGCGCAAGCCUGACCCAGCAACGCCGCGUGAAGGAAGAAGGCUUUCGGGUUGUAAACUUCUUUUCUCAGGGACGAAGCAAGUGAGGGUACCUGAGGAAUAAGCCACGGCUAACUACGUGCCAGCAGCCGCGGUAAGACGGAGGUGGCAAGAGUUAUCCGGAUGUACGGGGUGUAAGGGGCGUGUAGGCGGGACUGCAAGUCAGAUGUGAAAACCACGGGCUCAACCUGUGGCCUGAAUUUGAACAUGUAGGUCUUGAGUACUGGAGAGGCAGACGGAAGUCGUAGUGUAGCGGUGAAAUGCGUAGAUAUUAGGAGGAACACCAGUGGCGAAGGCGGUCUGCUGGACAGCAACUGACGCUGAGGCGCGAAAGCGUGGGGAGCAAACAGGAUUAGAUACCCUUGUAGUC
rnacentral:rRNA from 1 species